GUGGCCCGGUGGCCUGGUGGCUAAAGCUCCCGCUUCACACACGGAGGGCCCGGGUUCGAUUCCCGGCGGGUGGAAACAUUUCGACACGUUUCCUUACACCUGUUGUCCUGUUCACCUAGCAGCAAAUAGGUACCUGGGUGUUAGUCGACUGGUGUGGGUCGCAUCCUGGGGGACAAGAUUAAGGACCCCAAUGGAAAUAAGUUAGACAGUCCUCGAUGACGCACUGACUUUCUUGGGUUAUCCUGGGUGGCUAACCCUCCGGGGUUAAAAAUCCGAACGAAAUUUUAUCUUAUCUUAUCUUAAGGUUAGCACGACAUAUAUCGCGAUCCAGAGGGAAAAUACCUGCAGCAUUCUGGGCAUGCAGCUGACUGCCAGGGAGUUGGAUGAAGUAUCUGAGAUGUAGACUCUGACAUGUCAUAGCACAAGCAAACAUACAUCUGGCAGUACUCUCAGAGCACAAACCAACAUGUAGCUGUACACUCGGAACCACCUAAGAGUAGUGAAGGGGCCAAGUGCGAGAUGACCGAGGGUGAGACUGGUGCCACUAAUGCACAGACAUCGAAGAACUUUCCUACAAUCGACACCAAUGAAGGGAGGACAUCUAGAAACCCAAAUAAGACUUGAAGAGCAACAGAUUAUCUAUCAAUGAAGACCAAUCUACAUUGCCAACUAUAUCAUAAAUGCUGGGUCACAACUGCAAAGAAAUUAUCCCAAUUAAAAUUGCCCAGUAGAAGAGGUGGUUCAAGUAAGGAAUAAACCUGGGUCCACAAUUUGUUCAAUGAUAAGGGGGAAGAAAGAGGUAAGAAACAGAUUACAUACCAUUUAUUAAUUUGGGAUGGAUUAUAAUGUAGUACAGUAUUUGGCAUUACUGGAGCAAGAAAUGUACAGUCAUUAUAAAAAGACAUUAGGAUAAGGGCAUAUAGUAAUGGUAGAAUUACCAACAAAAUAGGUAAAUGGAUACACAUGCAACUAAUGUGACUUUUUAUUGUGGCAACAUUUUGCUCUUCAGGAGCUUUGUCAAGCAACAGCUUGACAAACUUCCUGGAGAGUGAAACAAAGAUUUAUAGAGCAUAAGAAACAUAGCCAGAGACAGGAAGAACAACAGAGUUAUGUAGUCUAAGUUAUCAUAGACAAAUGCAGAGAAAAAAGCUGAAAUCAACAUUUAAAACGGUUCCCCAAUUUCUAGAUACUGUAUGAAGUCUGUGGGUUUAGCACUCCACCUCAUGAAUGUGAUAAAAAGCCCCAAUUUUCAAGUACGGAUUCACUGUUUUUUCCACUGCUUUACUAAUGUAUAAGGAUUUAGCACUUUUAUGUGAAUACUGUAUAAUAAUAAUAAUAUUUUAAGGUAAAAUAAAAGGAAAAUGAAGACUGGAAUAAAGGAUGGCAAUAAACAUAGGGGAUCUGUAAUGUCUGGAUUCAGCAGCAAAGAUAGUUACAGGGGACAAUUGUAUGAAGCUGAAAAUUUGGAAAACUGUGAUGAAUCAAUGGAGGAAAGUGGGUCAGAAACAGAUACUGCAGAGAUAUCUUGAUCUCGUGCAACACUCGUCAGUGUUUCGCUGCUGAGCAGUAUAACACAGAGCUGAUGAUGACAGCAGCAAGUACCCUAGGGAAUAUCGAUGUCUGAGAGAUUACAUUUGGUUUAUAAAGAAGAUCUACAAAGGAAGGAAGGGGUGGAGGCAUGUAAAUAAACAACUAAAUUACCAAUCUUCUCAGUAUCUGUGAUGGAGAAAGUACCGUUCCAGGAAAGGGGUUGGGUAAAUUGAUAGUGGCAGUAGCUGAAAUGGAAGAAAUGUGCUGAGGAAGGAUGGAUGAUUCAGGAAAAUACUAGGUGGAAGGGCAGAAUGAACAAAUAGGAAGCCUUCAGUGAAAUAUAAACCUAUGAAAUUUGUUUCUGGGCAGAUAUACUUUGCCAGAUGUCCAAUACAUCAGCAGUUUUGAUACUUCUAAACCAGUUAGACUGCUGUAUUAGUUUACUUAUGGCAUGUUCAAAAGACUACCAGAGGGAACUCAGAGAAGUUGAUAAUAAAUUUUGUGGUGUUCAGAAAGCACCACCUACCAUGCAUGGAAUGAACAAAUAACUUUACUAGAAUAACUGGCAACUGAGUUGAACAUGUCGUUAAACCAUACUAGGAAGAGUUGUUAAAUACAGCCUACAGUGUAGAUUGCACAUCAUUGCACAUCAGUGUAGUGUGUACAUCAUUCAGGGAAGUGGUCUGCAUGUGGACAAUGUGAACCCCUUCAUAGAAUAAAUGGAAUACAAGUAUGUCUGGGCCAACCAAGGUCAUUAGCACAUGGAAAAAUUGUAGUUAUCUAAUAGCACUCAGCAGAACUUUGUAUGCAUUUUUGCUGUAGACAAAUAGACUAAUGUUAGCAAGGACCAGAAAGACUGCUGUAGUGUUUAAUGAAGUCUGCUCCAUCAUAAAUGGUUAAAUCUUUCGUCUGGCCCUUAUUCUUAAACCUGGUCAGCAUGAGCAGACCUAACUGGGCUAUAAUAUAUCUCUCAGAUUGCAUAAUAACCACCUUUAUUUCUACAAAUACAUGAUAAAACUUAUAGAGCAUAAGGAUGUUCAAACAUCACAUAAAUAGUUUUCCGAAGGGUCCAUUAAACCAGGAUGUUGUUAAAAAACAACACUUACACACCCUAAACCUAAUCUAGUACUGUGCACACACUUUACAGUUUUAUUGCAAUGGAUACUGAAAAUAAAGAAGUUAAAAGUAUAAUUUACCAGUGGAUUUUGUCCAUUAUUAUCAGUCCCUUAUAUUGUGGUCAGUUUUAUUGAGGAAUUGCAGCGAUUUAUUAUUAAAGGAUGCAUGUAGCGCUGUUGUUCACUUGCACCAACAGCCUGGUUGAACAAGCAGUCAACAAUGCAGUCUUGUCUCAGGUUGAGCUUGGAGAGUGGAGGACUCUUGAAACUGUUCACAGGUAUUUACAUGUUAACGAAAUUUUAACCUUAACUAAAUUUAUUUUUUGUUUAUAUUUAUUCUGUAUAUUUAACAGAUGUUUAUAUUUCCUUUGAUAUAUACAUUACUGCAAGAUGCUAUUAUACAAGUUCAAUUAAACAUUUACCUAAAAUAAAUGAAGUAGUCAUUAUAAAUGAAAUAUAUGUGCAGGUAUUGUAAGGUAUAUAAGAAUUAGGCAGAUGUUUGUAUAAAUUAGGUGUCAAAGUCAACAUAUAAUAUACUAUUCAUAUUUCUAGAUUUAUAAAGAAUUUUUUUUUUUUUCUUUUUAGGUCACCCUGCCUCAGUGGGAUAAGGCCGGUUCAUUAGAAAAAAAAAUCUAGAUUAAUCUGACCAAUAUACACAAUGUAUAGUCAUUAAUCAACCUGAUUACUGUCAAAUGUAUAUUUAAAAUUUGGCAUAAGCUAGAAGACUACAUUUACCAGUUUCUCUAGUUGUAAUUCUCACACUUGAAUACAUAUAUACAUCACACACUUCAAUAAUAGAAGUACAGACCCUCAAAUGUGGUUCCCUUAUAUCAAGACUCAUCUAUUAUAUAUGCUCAUUACCUUGUCAUCUCUGUAUUAGGACUGCAGAAGCCACAUGUGGUGAAAUGCUUCCUUACUAAAUGUCUUGAUCAAUGCAUAAAUAACCCACACAUAGGAGAGAGGAGCUUAGGACGAUGUUUAGGUCUGACUUGAACCAUUUACAAAGUCACAAUGUGACUUUGUAAAUGAUCCAAGUCGGACUGAAACAUCAUCCUAAGCUCCUCUCUCUUAUGUGCGGGUUAUUUUUGUAUUGUUCUAGUCACAGUAUUGUGCCUUUUUGUUAUUUACUGAUCAAUGCAUAUACGUCUUUUGCCUAUAAGUCACGAUUUUGAUUGUGAAUUUCACUCUAUUCAAUUUCAAAUUAAAUAAUUAUUGCCAUUAUAUUCCCAAAAGCAGUAUAUUCAUACAAGUCAUUCACUUCUGUAGUCCCAAUAAAUAUGUUUAAAUGUCUGUUAUCGAGAGACUUCACUUCAAGGGUCCUGGAUUAGAAAAUUUGUACCUCUAUAUUAAAAACAACCACAAAAAUGAUUCCAUAUUAUUCCUACUUACAUCUUGGAUAACAGUAAGAUUUGCAGAUAUAUAAAAUUGUGUUUCUUCAUAUUGCUAUUCUAUAUAUGACAGUGUCGAGUUUUACAGUAAUUCGUUAUUUACCUAUAUAUAUAAAUAUUAUAAAAGUUAUACAAAAAUAUUUCUUCAGCACUGAUAUAAAAGUUAUUCACUUAGUCUCACAAAAUAACAAGCAAGCUGAACAUCAGCCAAGAAAUUUCCUAAAAUAUGGCACAUUAUACUAUACACCUGGGCUGGUCAUGGACAGAGCUGCAGGGGCAUUGACCCCUGAAACCCCCCUCCAGGUAUACUCCAGGUAUACACAGAAAUUAAAUGUGCAACUAGAAGACAAUACUCUUUCUUCCCUACACUAAAUAAGUACUCAUACUAUCUCUGAUGAAUAGUUUUGUCAUGAUAGAAUUACCUGUGCAAUCAAUCUAAGACAUACAAUAGAGUAAAUAAACACAAACACUAAGAAUAUAUAGUCAGUACCGUGGCUGGAACAGUUCACAUAUAACUCGUGAUCAGGAGAGGAAUCUCAUGUUUUGAUCGAUUCUGCCUUUUCUUUGCCUUUCCUGUCUUUUGACAUUCCUCUUUCUUACUUUUUUUCUCUUUUCCUAGCUUGGGCUAUUUGGCCUGCUGCAGUUGUUCUCCUUUGAGAGGCAGAGUGUAGUUUACUCUUGUUACUUUAUCACUAGUCCUGCCCAGGGUGCAUCUCAUCCCCUGUAGUGCUCCUCUUGUUCUUUUGUUCAACUAAUCCUUUUACUACUACUACUACUACCAUUACUUCUGUAUGACCCUAGUGGGUUUAGCGCUUAGUUAUGAUUGUAAUAAGAAUAACUGUAAUACUACCAUUACUAUUACGACUACCAGCAGUACUACUUCCCUACUACUACCACCUCCCCACAUAGUUGUCUGGCCUCUACUUUUUUGCCAGCAGUUGUAACUUUAAAAUGGUCCAGGAUCACCAAAACAUCACCAAGUUCCUCUUCUAAGUAUGACUUAUUUGUGAAUAAACAUGCAUUUAGCUUUUCAGUAACUUACAGGCUAUACUGUAUACACUAACCUCAAGAGAGAAGGGGGUUAAAGUUAGUGAAGGGUUCUUGAGCCAAUCGUCUCCCAUUCCUCUGGCAUUGUAUUACCCCUAUGGGUUGAACACUUCCCAGUGAAUAUAACAUUUAUGCUUACCAUCUCACAGUUUACAAAUAUUUUACCAAAUUGAAAUAAAACAGUUAUUAAAAUUAAAAAGCUAAAGCAAGAGGGUUUAUGUUAUAAAAUAUAAUGCAAGGCAUUUUAAAUAAGAGUAAAUAAUCACAACAAUUUUUCUCAUGUCGGUAAUAUGUAUGAAUGACCCAUGCAUAUGACUAUCCCCUGGGAUUACUGAAUAGAUGGCAUGAUUGUAGAUUCAGUUCCAGACCAACUGAGAUUAUUUAAACAAAUGAUUAAAUAGAACGAAGAUUUACAAAUUUUAAUUGUUUUAGAAUAUUUUUUUUUUUACACACAGUUGUAGCCCGGUACUAUAAUUAAACAAAUCUGUAAAAUAGGUCUGCCAGAGACCGUAUUAUUUUUGUUUUCGCAACUUAUUAACUAAGUUAUAUUUACGUAUACAGUAAUUAAUAUGAAACGACACAUCACAAGUACAAUCGGUAAUCUCUGAGAAAGGUAAACCCCUGUGGUUAGACUCUUGUUUGUAGACAGGGUGGUCCAAGAAGUGCAUACUAUAAAAUACCAACAAUACAGGACACCAGCCUGUUACAUUCAAGCAGCUUUUUCAUGCACCACCCUGUACACUGAAGGAGAUCAAGGGGAGAAAAUAUGCUUCACAGGAGGAUAUUCAAGUGAUGUGAACACUGGUUAAUGUUAGCACUAUCUGCAAAUGAAACACACCCUUAAUGUAGAUUAACCAUCUUCUAUUUGGUCUGAAUAGCCAGGCACAGUGUGAUUGUCAAAAUUACCAAUAAUAAAAGCCUCGGAGGGAAAUGCAAAAAAAUUGUCUAUUAAUAUACAUCUCAAAAACAUCUUUACAUCUAAAAUGCACAUUAAAUAUAUAUCAACAAAGUAGCUAUAUACAAGAGAGUGCUCUAAAAGCUAUGUACUAUCUAUCUAUUACACAUCACAAGGCAGGAGUCACAACUAUGGCACACUCUAGUCUGCCUUUGAUCAAUUUCUGCACACAUCAGUUAUCUGUGCAUGAAUAUUUCACUGACUGUAUUGGCAGAUUUUUAAAUGUAUUUCUUUAAUGAACAUUUUUUGUAUGGCAGUAUUUACUGAAAAUUUGCAUUCAUAAAAAUACGCUAUCUUUUUCCCAAUAAAUUGUCUCGCAUGUAUUAACAAACUUGACUAAGUGAUAAAUGCAACAAACAGUGUACUGAUAAAUCCUAUAAACUUUUAAUCUGCAGAUCAUGUUACUUACACAAUAAUUUAUAAUUAUUAUAUGUAUAUAUCUUCAACAACGUAGUGAGAUUUAAAUAUGUACGUACCAGCAUAUGAAAUGCAUAAUAAAAGAAACGAAAAUUAUCACUUCAAAGUGAGAUGAUCACUAACAACUUGCUAGUCAAGAAAAAUAAUCGCUGUGACAACCAAAGCUGAAGCACCUCAGUGAACACUGCACAGGUGAUGAGUCAUAGUUAAGGUUUAAUCCGACGUCGAGUUAACACCUUCGUAAUCUGAUGUUAAGUUAACAUCUUCAUAAUCUGAUGUUGAGUUAACAUCUUUGUAUUCUGAUGUUAACUUAACAUGUUCAUAAUGUGAUGUUAAGUUAACAUCUUCAUAAAAUUUAAAGGUUUGGUGGGACUCUUGAGUAUCUGAAGUGCAGGAAAUUAUAUAUAAAAGUGAUAUGAGUAAAUUAUUACAUGGUGAAUAGAAUUCUAUUAUAAAGGUAUCACACAAAUUAUAAAAAAUUAUGUUAAGGCCACACACACACAUUUAUGGGCUAUGCAUUUUUAUACACUAUAGACAUCCCUUAAUAUUCACUGGAGAGGCAUUCCUAGGUGUUAGUGUGGCUUCCCAGGAGAGCAGGUUGGAAGGAUGGGUGGCAGACAGGCAGGGCAGGUAAGCAAGAAAUAGUUCUUUCUAACUCGUCUCUGUACUGCAUCGUGUGACGGAGAGAAGGAAGGAAGGAAAUGAGAAGGUAGAGGUAGGGCGAGUGAAACCAGGAAGGUGGGAGGGCAGUGGAAGGCAAGCAGUGGUAUCCAAUACAAGCGACAGGAAAGAUCUCGUUCCCCUCUCUAAUGAUCAUGGUAAUCAUACGAACAGGUAGUUGAGCAGGUGAGUUAGUGGCACAAAGUUUUCUGUGGACUCCACAGCUGUCACAUUAAUUAUGAGAGUGCAGGGACAGGAGGGUGGAUGUGAGGCAAAUUCUCACUACCCUCCCUAAGUGUCAUGUUACUUACAAGAGAAAAAGAUCAGGUAGUUGAGCAAAUCUAUCUAUCUAUCUCUAUCUCUAUCUCCUCCUCAGCUGUCAUAUUAUUCACUAUAAACAGAAAAGGAAGCAAGAGAAAGUAAUUCUUUAAUAAAACUUAUAAUCACUUACUCCUUAACCUGACAAGACUUCACUCAAAUUAAUACACCCUCUUUCCAUAAGGCUUGUCCUUAAGUAGUGCUAUUAAAAAAAAAAAAAAAAAAAAAAAGCCUAUUUA